GUCCGCGCCGAGUCCCCGGAGACACGCGUGUGCAGUAAAAUCCGGAGCCCUGGUGAAGGCCGCCACCAAUGAUGCAGCGAUUAAAGCCAGGAAGAUACUUCAAAGCCUCCUCCUGCUUUACAGUUCAGAUCUCACACUGUGAGCUUUUAUAAGCAGCUGCUUGUCAUAGCCUUAGAAGAUCUUUCAGAAAAAGAAGUCUGGAUGCUACCCCUGAGUACCUGAUUCCCUACCUAUACAUUUGCUUCUACUAGGGAAAAGUCGGAUCUGUGUCUAGCUUGGGAGGAAUUCAGAUUCAUUAAAAUUGGGCUGAAACUUGAAAAAUGAAUGCAUCCAACACACCCGUUGGUACUGUAACUGUUGUACUCUAAAAGUAUACGUGAUCCACUCAGCUAAAAACUGAUGGAGCUGAGCAUCUUGGACAAGCUUUUAAUCCCAGCACUUGCAAGACUGAGGCAGCAGGAUCUCUGUGAGUCUGAGGCCAGCCUGAUCUACAUAAUAAGUUCUGGCCAGGCCAGAUAGAGAUACAUAGUAAGAUGUCUCAAACAAACAAAAUAAAAAUCUGAUGAAAACUA